GACGAACGCUGGCGGCGUGCUUAACACAUGCAAGUCGAGCGGUAAGGCCCUUUCGGGGGUACACGAGCGGCGAACGGGUGAGUAACACGUGGGUGACCUGCCCUCAGCUCUGGGAUAAGCCUGGGAAACCGGGUCUAAUACUGGAUAUGACUCCAUGACGCAUGUUGUGGGGUGAAAGCCUUGUGCGGCUGAGGAUGGGCCCGCGGCCUAUCAGCUUGUUGGUGGGGUGAUGGCCUACCAAGGCGACGACGGGUAGCCGGCCUGAGAGGGCGACCGGCCACACUGGGACUGAGACACGGCCCAGACUCCUACGGGAGGCAGCAGUGGGGAAUCUUGCGCAAUGGGCGAAAGCCUGACGCAGCGACGCCGCGUGAGGGAU
rnacentral:rRNA from 1 species